AGUGAACGCUGGCGGUAGGCCUAACACAUGCAAGUCGAACGGCAGCACAGUAAGAGCUUGCUCUUACGGGUGGCGAGUGGCGGACGGGUGAGGAAUACAUCGGAAUCUACUUUUUCGUGGGGGAUAACGUAGGGAAACUUACGCUAAUACCGCAUACGACCUACGGGUGAAAGCGGGGAUCUUCGGACCUUGUGCGAUUGAAUGAGCCGAUGUCGGAUUUGCUAGUUGGCGGGGUAACGGCCCACCAAGGCGACGAUCCGUAGCUGGUCUGAGAGGAUGAUCAGCCACACUGGAACGGAGACACGGUCCAUACUCCUACGAGAGGCAGCAGUGGGGAAUAUUGGACAAUGGGCGCAAGCCUGAUCCAGCCAUACCGCGUGGGUGAAGAAGGCCUUCGGGUUGUAAAGCCCUUUUGUUGGGAAAGAAAAGCAGCAGGUUAAUACCCCGCUGUUCUGACGGUACCCAAAGAAUAAGCACCGGCUAACUUCGUG
rnacentral:rRNA from 1 species